rnacentral:rRNA from 1 species
AUACGGAGGAUGCAAGCGUUAUCCGGAUUUAUUGGGUUUAAAGGGUGCGUAGGCGGUUUGCUAAGCGGGAGGUGAAAUGCCGGCGCUCAACGUCGGAAGUGCCUCCCGAACUGGUGGACUGGAAUGACUCUGCCGUGGGAGGAAUGUGUAGUGUAGCGGUGAAAUGCUUAGAGAUUACACAGAACACCGAUUGCGAAGGCAUCUCACGAAGGGUUGAUUGACGCUGAGGCACGAAAGCGUGGGGAUCAAACAGGAUUAGAUACCCUGGUAGUCCACGCAGUAAACGAUGAUGGCUAACCGCUGGUUUAUUUGGAUCAGUGGCCAAGCGAAAGCGAUAAGCCAUCCACCUGGGGAGUACGACCGCAAGGUUGAAACUUAAAGGAAUUGACGGGG